rnacentral:RNase_P_RNA from 1 species
CUUUGUAUGCUGUUCUAUCGCUGUCCGCUUUGCGGAGAGAGGAAAGUCCGGGCAACACAGAGCAUCCUGCUUCCUAACGGGAAGGGCGUAUAAAAGCGUACGGAAAGUGCCACAGAAAACAAACUACCCUGCCGUUUGACGGUGUGGGAAAAGGUGAAAACGUGAGGUAAGAGCUCACGGCUUUGUAUGGCGACAUGCAUCGCGGUAAACCCCGGGAGUUGAAAGACCAAAUAAGCUGGCAUUUAAGGGCUGCUCGUUCUUAUCAUGUUUUUCAUGGUGUGUCAGCGGGUAGGUCGUUUGAGCCUGGCAGCAAUGUCAGGACUAGAUAAAUGAUAGAAAUCCGUUUACGGAGACAGAACCCGGCUUACAGGCAAUAAGGAGGA